AUACGGAGGAUGCGAGCGUUAUCCGGUUUUAUUGGGCUUAAAGGGUGCGUAGGCGGACGAUUAAGUCAGCUGUGAAAUGCCCGCGCUUAACGCGGGAAGUGCAGUUGAUACUGGUUGUCUGGAGUGCCGUUGCCGUGGGGGGAAUGUGUAAUGUACAGGUGAAAUGCAUAGAUAUUACACAGAACGCCGAUUGUGAAGACACCUCACGAAGCGGUAACUGACGCUGAGGCACGAAAGCGUGGGGAUCAAACAGGAUUAGAUACCCUGGUAGUCCACGCAGUAAACGAUGAUAACUAACCGUCGGCGAUAGAAUGUCGGUGGCCAAGCGAAAGCGAUAAGUUAUCCACCUGGGGAGUACGUUCGCAAGAAUGAAACUCAAAUGAAUUGACGGGG
rnacentral:rRNA from 1 species